UACGAAGGGUGCAAGCGUUACUCGGAAUUACUGGGCGUAAAGCGUGCGUAGGCGGUGAGUUAAGUCUGUCGUGAAAGCCCCGGGCUCAACCUGGGAAUGGCGAUGGAUACUGGCUCGCUAGAGUGCGGUAGAGGAGAGUGGAAUUCCCGGUGUAGCAGUGAAAUGCGUAGAGAUCGGAAGGAACAUCAGUUGCGAAGGCGGCUCUCUGGACCAGCACUGACACUGAGGCACGAAAGCGUGGGGAGCAAACAGG
rnacentral:rRNA from 1 species